rnacentral:rRNA from 1 species
GAUGAACGCUGGCGGCGUGCCUAAUACAUGCAAGUCGAGCGAACAGACGAGGAGCUUGCUCCUCUGACGUUAGCGGCGGACGGGUGAGUAACACGUGGAUAACCUACCUAUAAGACUGGGAUAACUUCGGGAAACCGGAGCUAAUACCGGAUAAUAUAUUGAACCGCAUGGUUCAAUAGUGAAAGACGGUUUUGCUGUCACUUAUAGAUGGAUCCGCGCCGCAUUAGCUAGUUGGUAAGGUAACGGCUUACCAAGGCGACGAUGCGUAGCCGACCUUAGAGGGUGAUCGGCCACACUGGAACUGAGACACGGUCCAGACUCCUACGGGAGGCAGCAGUAGGGAAUCUUCCGCAAUGGGCGAAAGCCUGACGGAGCAACGCCGCGUGAGUGAUGAAGGUCUUCGGAUCGUAAAACUCUGUUAUUAGGGAAGAACAAAUGUGUAAGUAACUAUGCACGUCUUGACGGUACCUAAUCAGAAAGCCACGGCUAACUACGUG